UGAUGAGGACACCACGAGUACAUCUACACCAGCAGCACCUCAGGCGCCUCCAGUUGCUCAUCCACCUCAGGAGCCUACAGUUGCUCAUCCAGUUGGGCCAAUCACUCGAGCCCGUGCGAGAGAAUUAAACUUCAUCAUGCUGUUAAGGAACGAAGGCCCAUCGGAAUAAGAAGAUGGCCCAACAGGGCAGCCCAGGUGGGGCGCCUAGGGUUGGGCGCCGU
rnacentral:lncRNA from 1 species